AAAAACAUGUCCUUUUGAUUUUAAUUUAAGGUCUAACCUGCUCAAUGAAUUUUAAAUAGCCGCAGUAUUUUAACUGUGCAAAGGUAGCAUAAUCAUUAGUUUUUUAAUUGAAAGCUGGAAUGAAAGGUUAAAUGAGAAAAUAGCUGUCUCUAUUAAAAUUUUAUAGAACUUUAUUUUUAAGUAAAAAAGCUUAAAUUUUAAUAAAAGACGAGAAGACCCUUUAGAGUUUUAUAUUUUAAAAUUAUAUUAUUUUUUAGUAUUUUAAAAUUUAUUUUUUAUAAUAUUUAGUUGGGGUGAUUAGAAAAUUAAAUAAACUUUUCUUUUAAAUUUAUACUUAUUUGUAAAAUUAUGAUCCUUAAAUUAAGAUUAUAAGAUAAAAUUACCUUAGGGAUAACAGCGUGAUUUUUUUUGAGAGUUCUUAUCGAAAAAAAAGAUUGCGACCUCGAUGUUGGAUUAAAAUUAAUUUUUGGUGUAGAAGCUAGAUAAAUUAGGUCUGUUCGACCUUUAAAAUUUUACUUGAUCUGAGUU
rnacentral:rRNA from 1 species